rnacentral:tRNA from 1 species
GUUAACAAAAAAAAGUAGUUUAAAAAUUUGAGUAGUUUAAAUAAAAAAAACAUUACACUUUCAUUGUAAAAUUAAAAUAUUUUUCAA